rnacentral:rRNA from 1 species
UGACCCCUACGGGGGGCAGCAGUAGGGAAUCUUCGGCAAUGGACGAGAGUCUGACCGAGCAACGCCGCGUGAGUGAAGAAGGUUUUCGGAUCGUAAAACUCUGUUGUUAGAGAAGAACGUUAAGUAGAGGGGAAAGUUACUUAAGUGACGGUAUCUAACCAGAAAGGGACGGCUAACUACGUGCCAGCAGCCGCGGUAAUACGUAGGUCCCGAGCGUUGUCCGGUUUUAUUGGGCGUAAAGCGAGCG